rnacentral:lncRNA from 1 species
AUUGGGCCCUGUCUCAGCAAGGCAGUUUUUUGCAACAGUCUGAAAGGAUAAGAAAAGGAAAAAUGUUAUUUCCUCUCGUUUCCUCAUCAGUUGCUGUGUGUGUCACAGAACAGAGGUGGAGGGGAAGCGAGGACCCCGGUGGCGAAGCUUGUCAGGGCAGACAGGCUGAUUCCAUUCUCCCUUCCUUUCCCCGUGACCUUAGGCAAGUCAUUAACCUCCCUUGCCUCUCAAGCUCCUUCCAUAAAGCGUGACGUCCCUGCCGAUUGUUAGAUGAAAGAUCCGAUGUGAGUGCAGAGUUUAUAUAUAGCGCCCUUUAUACCCAACACAUGAAAGAAAUUAGCUAGAAUAGGCGGGGCAUCAGGUGGAGGAUGUGUGAGUGGUGGCUCCCUGUGACCCCAGCCUUUGGAUUCUGGUGCUUUCAACAGCCUUAUUUGAAGAAACCUCCUCAGUGGAAAACGGACUGUGGCUGACGACGCCUGUCAUCUGUGCUGUCGCUGGAGGGCAGAACGCUGGUGCCCGGCAUUGUCAGGCCCUGAGUUUACCUGCAAGUGGGCACGUAUUGCCCUCCCCGGGCCUCACCAGACUCCGCUGGCUCCUGAAAACUCUCCAGCCUGACUCUGCUUUUUCUCAUUUUGUUUAUUCUUUCAAAAUAUACAGUAUACUCCUUUCAGGCAGGUGCAAGAAUUUCUGUAAUAAUUCAUGUUCUCAUUUUCAGGAGCUAUGGAGUUGGUUUCAGCCCAGUCGAGAGGGAUAUGUGACAAGCGGGUGACGUCCACUGAUAAUAAACACAUGUUGAAAGUCC